rnacentral:rRNA from 2 species
GGUUAAGCGACUAAGCGUACACGGUGGAUGCCCUGGCAGUCAGAGGCGAUGAAGGACGUGCUAAUCUGCGAAAAGCGUCGGUAAGGUGAUAUGAACCGUUAUAACCGGCGAUGUCCGAAUGGGGAAACCCAGUGCAAUUCGUUGCACUAUCGUUAACUGAAUACAUAGGUUAACGAGGCGAACCGGGGGAACUGAAACAUCUAAGUACCCCGAGGAAAAGAAAUCAACCGAGAUUCCCCCAGUAGCGGCGAGCGAACGGGGAGCAGCCCAGAGUCUGAAUCAGCUUGUGUGUUAGUGGAACGGUCUGGAAAGUCCGACGGUACAGGGUGAUAGUCCCGUACACCAAAAUGCACAGGUUGUGAACUCGAAGAGUAGGGCGGGACACGUGGUAUCCUGUCUGAAUAUGGGGGGACCAUCCUCCAAGGCUAAAUACUCCUGACUGACCGAUAGUGAACCAGUACCGUGAGGGAAAGGCGAAAAGAACCCCGGCGAGGGGAGUGAAAAAGAACCUGAAACCGUGUACGUACAAGCAGUGGGAGCACCUUCGGGUGUGACUGCGUACCUUUUGUAUAAUGGGUCAGCGACUUAUAUUCUGUAGCAAGGUUAACCGUAUAGGGGAGCCGCAGGGAAACCGAGUCUUAACUGGGCGUUAAGUUGCAGGGUAUAGACCCGAAACCCGGUGAUCUAGCCAUGGGCAGGUUGAAGGUUGGGUAACACUAACUGGAGGACCGAACCGACUAAUGUUGAAAAAUUAGCGGAUGACUUGUGGCUGGGGGUGAAAGGCCAAUCAAACCGGGAGAUAGCUGGUUCUCCCCGAAAGCUAUUUAGGUAGCGCCUCGUGAAUUCAUCUUCGGGGGUAGAGCACUGUUUCGGCUAGGGGGUCAUCCCGACUUACCAACCCGAUGCAAACUACGAAUACCGAAGAAUGUUAUCACGGGAGACACACGGCGGGUGCUAACGUCCGUCGUGAAGAGGGAAACAACCCAGACCGCCAGCUAAGGUCCCAAAGUCAUGGUUAAGUGGGAAACGAUGUGGGAAGGCACAGACAGCCAGGAUGUUGGCUUAGAAGCAGCCAUCAUUUAAAGAAAGCGUAAUAGCUCACUGGUCGAGUCGGCCUGCGCGGAAGAUGUAACGGGGCUAAACCAUGCACCGAAGCUGCGGCAGCGACACUAUGUGUUGUUGGGUAGGGGAGCGUUCUGUAAGCCUGCGAAGGUGUGCUGUGAGGCAUGCUGGAGGUAUCAGAAGUGCGAAUGCUGACAUAAGUAACGAUAAAGCGGGUGAAAAGCCCGCUCGCCGGAAGACCAAGGGUUCCUGUCCAACGUUAAUCGGGGCAGGGUGAGUCGACCCCUAAGGCGAGGCCGAAAGGCGUAGUCGAUGGGAAACAGGUUAAUAUUCCUGUACUUGGUGUUACUGCGAAGGGGGGACGGAGAAGGCUAUGUUAGCCGGGCGACGGUUGUCCCGGUUUAAGCAUGUAGGCUGGUUAUCCAGGCAAAUCCGGAUAAUCAAGGCUGAGGUGUGAUGACGAGGCACUACGGUGCUGAAGUAACAAAUGCCCUGCUUCCAGGAAAAGCCUCUAAGCAUCAGGUAACAUCAAAUCGUACCCCAAACCGACACAGGUGGUCAGGUAGAGAAUACCAAGGCGCUUGAGAGAACUCGGGUGAAGGAACUAGGCAAAAUGGUGCCGUAACUUCGGGAGAAGGCACGCUGGUGUGUAGGUGAAGCCCCUGCGGGUGGAGCUGAGACCAGUCGAAGAUACCAGCUGGCUGCAACUGUUUAUUAAAAACACAGCACUGUGCAAACACGAAAGUGGACGUAUACGGUGUGACGCCUGCCCGGUGCCGGAAGGUUAAUUGAUGGGGUUAUCCGUAAGGAGAAGCUCUUGAUCGAAGCCCCGGUAAACGGCGGCCGUAACUAUAACGGUCCUAAGGUAGCGAAAUUCCUUGUCGGGUAAGUUCCGACCUGCACGAAUGGCGUAAUGAUGGCCAGGCUGUCUCCACCCGAGACUCAGUGAAAUUGAACUCGCUGUGAAGAUGCAGUGUACCCGCGGCAAGACGGAAAGACCCCGUGAACCUUUACUAUAGCUUGACACUGAACAUUGAGCCUUGAUGUGUAGGAUAGGUGGGAGGCUUUGAAGCGUGGACGCCAGUCUGCGUGGAGCCAACCUUGAAAUACCACCCUUUAAUGUUUGAUGUUCUAACGUUGGCCCCUGACCGGGGUUGCGGACAGUGUCUGGUGGGUAGUUUGACUGGGGCGGUCUCCUCCCAAAGCGUAACGGAGGAGCACGAAGGUUAGCUAAUCCUGGUCGGACAUCAGGAGGUUAGUGCAAUGGCAUAAGCUAGCUUGACUGCGAGCGUGACGGCGCGAGCAGGUGCGAAAGCAGGUCAUAGUGAUCCGGUGGUUCUGAAUGGAAGGGCCAUCGCUCAACGGAUAAAAGGUACUCCGGGGAUAACAGGCUGAUACCGCCCAAGAGUUCAUAUCGACGGCGGUGUUUGGCACCUCGAUGUCGGCUCAUCACAUCCUGGGGCUGAAGUAGGUCCCAAGGGUAUGGCUGUUCGCCAUUUAAAGUGGUACGCGAGCUGGGUUUAGAACGUCGUGAGACAGUUCGGUCCCUAUCUGCCGUGGGCGCUGGAGAAUUGAGGGGGGCUGCUCCUAGUACGAGAGGACCGGAGUGGACGCAUCACUGGUGUUCGGGUUGUCAUGCCAAUGGCACUGCCCGGUAGCUAAAUGCGGAAGAGAUAAGUGCUGAAAGCAUCUAAGCACGAAACUUGCCCCGAGAUGAGUUCUCCCUGAGACUUUAAGUCUCCUGAAGGAACGUUGAAGACGACGACGUUGAUAGGCCGGGUGUGUAAGCGCAGCGAUGCGUUGAGCUAACCGGUACUAAUGAACCGUGAGGCUUAACCUU